rnacentral:lncRNA from 1 species
UCGAGAUCACCAGAAUUCACCGAAGCGGAGCUGAAAGAGCCCCUUUCUUUGCCUUCCUGGGAACCAGAGGUGUUCAGUGAACUUAGCAUUCCUCUAGGAGUGGAGUUCGUGGUUCCCAGGACUGGCUUUUACUGCAAGCUGUGUGGCCUGUUCUACACAAGCGAGGAGGCGGCCAAAGUGAGCCACUGCCGCAGCACUGUACACUACAGGAACUUACAGGUCUCUGAGGGGGGAUUUUCUUCCUGGUUUUCACAGCGAUGAGAUACUGUCAGUUUACAGCUGAAGAAUGCAUACCAGUAAGACGUGACUCAGGUAAGAACACAAAGCAAGUGAGUGACACACAGCAGUGUCUGCCUCAAUCCCAUGCUCUCUCUCCUGAGGUUGGACUCUUAUGAGACCCUGGGCAUGCUUGGCUGGAGCAGAGC